GGAAGACCUCUUGAAGGAGAUUUGAUUUUAAUAAGGCUUUUGAAGGUGAGAGGAGUGAUCGUCUGUCAGAAAUGAAGGUGGAGGGAGAUCCAGGUCAGAAGCUGGAGGUGGGCGAAGCGGCAAGAUAGAUGCUGUAACGUUUCUCUUGAUUUCCUCCUGUCCACGGGUGGUUAUUGGUGAACCUGGUAAUCCAACAUUAGCUGGAAUCUGGAAAGCCACGCCAAUUCAAGUGGAGCCACCAUCCUCCUGAACCCGCCCGAUGCCGGAGGGAGCGAAAAUGGGUCAGAAAUGAGCCUCUGGCUCCUUGCCUGCCACUCCUGGUUGCUAGGCAACCCCAGCUGCUUAUUUCCAGCUAGCGUCUUCCCCAGCAAAGCAGGGCGGCAUUAUCAAUGAGUCUUUGUUCUCCACCCAGGCAGUUGAGAGGUCUGGAGCCCUGUUUUGGUGUUUUUAUGUAUUUGAUACCUGCUUUGUGGUAGGCUGCACCUCCGUUAUCGGUCACUGGGGCCUUGGAAGACAGGGCCAAGUCUCUUGGUACAGUCUGGUGCCUCGUUGGUGGAGCACAGACCUGCUCACACCUCACCACCUCCCCAUCCCUAUCUGGCCACCCGCCAGCUCCGUUUCCCUUUUCCUUUUCAGUUUUUCCACUGAGAAUGCCAGAACCACCCCGGAUUUGCACUUGGACUUCUGCACUUUGGACCCCACUGAGGAUACACAACAGUUCAUCCCCAAGGCUACCGCAAUGGGAAAGGAUCCUGAAAAUCAAAGGCCCUAACCACCUGACAAUUUUUUCUGAAUGUAUUUUGGGAGAGAGCAACCCUACUUUGUACUGCCUAACAGGUAGUUAUCAAUAAUAAUAAUAAUUAAUGGUAUUUGUUAAGUGCUUACUAUAUGCCAAGCACUGUUCUAAGCACUGGUGUAGACACAAGGUAAUCAGGUUGUCCCUUAUAGGACUCAUAGUCUUAAUCCCCAUUUUACAGGUGAGGUAAUUGAGGCACAGAUAAGCUAAGUAGCUUGCCCGAGGUCACACAGCAGACAAGUGGCAGAGGGGGAAUUAGAACCUAUGUACUCUGACUCCCAAUCCCAUGCUCUUUCCACUAAGCCACGUUGCAGUAAGUUAAUGAGCACUUACCGAGUGCAGAGCAUGGUACUAAGCACUUGGGAAACUACAAUACACCAGAGGUAGACAAGUCCCCUGCCCACUGUGAGUUUAUGUAGAAGGGGAGGCAGACAUUAAAAUACAUCACAGAUGUAUACACAAGUGCAGAGGGCGCAGGUGAAUAUCAAGUGCUUAAUGGGAAUAAUUUAUGUGGAAUAACUAUGUGUAAGAGGCAGAGGUGGUUUAAAAGCCAAAUCAAGGUCAGGCAUUAGAAUAGAUGAUCUGAAUAACGAACAGAUGUAGAUGUUACAAUUUGCAGCCAUCUUCUCCAGAACUUGGGACAGUAUUCAGAACAAACACUUCCACACCCUUCCUCCACUUCCUGAGUAAAACCUUCAGAAUAGAGACAAGAAAAGAAUAAAGAAAAUUUAUUGUAACCUUAAUUCUCUUCUCUUAAGCCUUCAUUCUCUUCUCCCCUUGCCUGCCUAUCCCCCACCCUCAUUUCUCCACCACCAUCUUGCCUCUGAAAUAAAAUCUUCAGAAUAAAGAAAAAAAUAAAACAUUAAAAAAUUUAAAA
rnacentral:lncRNA from 1 species